GGAUGAAGAACGCAGCGAAAUGCGAUACUUGGUGUGAAUUGCAGAAUCCCGUGAACCAUCGAGUCUUUGAACGCAAGUUGCGCCUCAAGCCAUUAGGUUGAGGGCACGUCUGCCUGGGCGUCACAUAUCGUUGCCUGAUGCCAGUUUCCUCGUGAUGGGUGACUGUGCAGGGCGAAUGAUGGCUUCCCGUGAGCAUUGUUGCCUCAUGGUUGGUUGAAAAUUGAGUCCUUGGUAGGGAGCGCCGUGAUAGAUGGUGGUUGAGUGACGAACGAGACCCAAUCAUGUGAGACCCCUACCGAAUUUGGCCUUCAUGACCCACAUGCGUCUUUGGAACGCUCAUGACGAGACCUCAGGUCAGGCGGGGCUACCCGCUGAGUUUAAGCAUAUCAAUAAGCUGAGGA
rnacentral:misc_RNA from 1 species